GACGAACGCUGGCGGCGUGCCUAAUACAUGCAAGUCGAACGCAGUGGGGACGGGUGAGUAACACGUGGGUAACCUCCCAUCAGAGGGGAUAACACUUGGAAACAGGUGCUAAACCGAUACUGAUGGAUGAACCCGCGGUGCAUUAGCUAGUUGGUGAGGUAACGGCUCACCAAGGCCACGAUGCAUAGCCGACCGGAGAGGGUGAGCGGCCACACUGGAACGGAGACACGGCCCAGACUCCUACGGGAGGCAGCAGUGGGGAAUAUUCGACAAUGGGCGCAAGUCUGAUCGAGCCACGCCGCGUGAAUGAAGAAGGUCUUCGGAUUGUAAAACCCUUUCGGCAGAGAAGCGUGAUCUACCCAGAAAGCCACGGCUAACUACGUGCCAGCAGCCGCGGUAAUUC
rnacentral:rRNA from 1 species